GACGAACGCUGGCGGCGUGCUUAACACAUGCAAGUCGAACGGAGAUUUUAUUUCGGUAAAAUCUUAGUGGCGAACGGGUGAGUAACGCGUAGGCAACCUGUCCUUCACAGGGGGAUAACACAGCGAAAGUUGUACUAAUACCGCAUAAGACCACGGUACGGCAUCGUGCAGGGGUCAAAGGAGAAAUCCGGUGAAGGGUGGGCUCGCGUCCGAUUAGAUUAGUUGGUGGGGUAACGGCCUACCAAGUCGACGAUCGGUAGCCGACCUGAGAGGGUGAUCGGCCACAUUGGGACUGAGACACGGCCCAA
rnacentral:rRNA from 1 species